rnacentral:rRNA from 1 species
GACGAACGCUGGCGGCGUGCCUAAUACAUGCAAGUCGAACGCGUCUACGUUAAUGAAAUCAAUGUGCUUGCACGGCGAUGGAUUUAACAUUAGACGAGUGGCGAACUGGUGAGUAACACGUGGGUAACCUGCCCUCAAGCAGGGGAUAACACUUGGAAACAGGUGCUAAUACCGCAUAACAAUCAUAACCGCAUGGUUAUGAUUUGAAAGGCGCUUCUGGUGUCACUGAUAGAUGGACCCGCGGUGCAUUAGCUAGUCGGUGGGGUAACGGCCUACCGAGGCGAUGAUGCAUAGCCGACCUGAGAGGGUGAUCGGCCACAUUGGGACUGAGACACGGCCCAAACUCCUACGGGAGGCAGCAGUAGGGAAUCUUCGGCAAUGGACGGAAGUCUGACCGAGCAACGCCGCGUGAGUGAAGAAGGUUUUCGGAUCGUAAAGCUCUGUUGUUAGAGAAGAACAAGUGUGAAAGUAACUAGUCACACCGUGACGGUAUCUAACCAGAAAGCCACGGCUAACUACGUGCCAGCCGCCGCAGUAAAAC